UUAAUUUGUCCUGUCUUUGUGUUCAUUCCUUCCUGGUUCUGAUGUCACCCACUCGGCCGUCUUUGUGACAAGUACUUAUUCAGAAUACUCGUAUCCUAAAUAUUGAAGUAUGUGAACAAUUGAUUUGACUUACCAGAAACAUUGCUUUUAACAUUUUUAGAACAGCGCUUUAGUAGAUUUAUAACAUACAAUCUAACAAAAUAUGGAAGUCCGUAGUGUAUUUAGUUCAAACCCACUCAAAGGCUGUGCGCGAGAAGAAGCUGUUAAACUUAAAAUCUUUGUCAGAAACGUCAUAAAUUGAGAUUUUAAAGACUAUACACUGUCCUUUUAAUGCAAACUUAAUAAUAUCAUGUAUUUUGUUCACAGUCAAAAGAGGGAGAACCAGUUAACUAUGCUGCGGUGUCUGGUAAUGGCACAGAAGAUAAUUAAGACUUGUCAUUCCUCGUCCACUCUGAAUUCAAGAUCCUGUUUCAUAAAAAAACAUAAAAUCUUAACAUGAUAUAUUUUUUGUUUUAUUUUUGUUUGUAAAUGUGAUAGACAGAUAGACUAACUGGUGGCAGAUAGUUAAAUAACAAAGUCACUUUGGAUCAGUUGACUAUUUGCGAGAAUGUUUCAGGCUUCCUGACUCUUUCCUAACAGCUUAUUUUGUUACUCACACUAACAGCCAUUUUAUUGAAAUUCAUACCACCAUUUUGCUAUCUGCUGACAGUUUGUUAAAUGCCUUUGCAGUUAAAUUGACUUGUUUUGAGAUAUAUAAAUGUGUGUGUGUCUGCAAACCAAUAUAACCAAAGUUAUGAUGGAAAGCACCGCUUUCUGUCGUAAAUGUAUACACAAUGAAUUGUUUCCAGGGCCAUCCUUUUCAUCUAUGUCAGGGAAACUGUUAUUAAACCUGAUAGGAACCCAGUAUUAAAAUAUUAAACCAUACUGUUAAAAUUAAUGAUUCCUUUUUAAUUUUUUUGUGUUUUUUUAUUUGGUUUAAAACUUUUUGUUACCAAAGAGGCUGUUCUUUAAAUGUGUUUUUAAAGAGAAAAUGUUUAGCGGUGUUUUUCAACCUGUCUGGCUUUACUCGCAUAAAAGGCUGUAUUUUAAAGCUUUGUUACCCUAAUAACUAUAAUUAUUCUUUCUAUGUGCUUUAAGAAUAUAGACAAAAAUGCUUUGGUAUAUGUUGUGGUGGUGGUUUGUGAGAAAAAAAAAUGAAAUGCAUAUUAUGUUCAUAUACUUUAAACAGCUUUUGUGUAACUUUAAAACGAAAUAAACUGCUUUCUUUAUACAGAAACACAAAAGCAAACUUUGUAAAUUCAAUGACAAACACGAAAUGUCGUCAAUCUUUUAAAUCUUUUUUUUGUUUGUUUGUUUGUUUCUGUUUUGUUAAUAAAAGUGUUUUAUAUACACCUGUUUUGGCUGAGCACUGACCAAAAAAUAAAUAAAUGUGGCUUGUCUUAUGAAAAUGGUAAAAUUAAUAUGAGCAUUAAUAAUAAAAAGUGAAUGCUA